AUUGAACGCUGGCGGCAUGCCUUACACAUGCAAGUCGAACGGUAACAGGUCUUCGGAUGCUGACGAGUGGCGAACGGGUGAGUAAUACAUCGGAACGUGCCCGAGAGUGGGGGAUAACGAGGCGAAAGCUUCGCUAAUACCGCAUAAGAUCUACGGAUGAAAGCAGGGGACCGCAAGGCCUUGCGCGAACGGGGCGGCCGAUGGCAGAUUAGGUAGUUGGUGGGAUAAAAGCUUACCAAGCCGACGAUCUGUAGCUGGUCUGAGAGGACGACCAGCCACACUGGGACUGAGACACGGCCCAGACUCCUACGGGAGGCAGCAGUGGGGAAUUUUGGACAAUGGGCGAAAGCCUGAUCCAGCCAUGCCGCGUGCAGGAUGAAGGCCUUCGGGUUGUAAACUGCUUUUGUACGGAACGAAAAGACUCUUUCUAAUAAAGAGGGUCCAUGACGGUACCGUAAGAAUAAGCACCGGCUAACUACGUGCCAGCCGCCGCAGUAAGAC
rnacentral:rRNA from 1 species